UACGUAGGGUGCAAGCGUUGUCCGGAAUUAUUGGGCGUAAAGAGCUCGUAGGCGGUUUGUCGCGUCGAAUGUGAAAACCCGGGGCUCAACCCCGGGCCUGCAUUCGAUACGGGCAGACUAGAGUUCGGUAGGGGAGUCUGGAAUUCCUGGUGUAGCGGUGAAAUGCGCAGAUAUCAGGAGGAACACCGGCGGCGAAGGCGGGACUCUGGGCCGAUACUGACGCUGAGGAGCGAAAGCGUGGGGAGCGAACAGG
rnacentral:rRNA from 1 species